UUGUCUUAUACCGACGCUAAGUACAUAAGCGUGUGAAAAUUACGCACGCGCCGGUUAAAGGGGAAGCUUGGCGAAUGUCAGGCAGAGGUGUGAAAAACUUUGUAAACACAAGCCAUUCCGGCGACAAAUUGUCUGUUCGACUGAAUAGGUGUAAUUAUCACUGUAAUUGUGCCGAGGGGACCACCAAAUGAGUUCGAGAGUUCGAAUUUUCGAAGUUCGAGCGAUCCGAGGUAGAACUAUAUAGAAUAAAGAAGGAAUAAAUUCGGGACCGGGCAAAGAGUUCGAGCGAUCCCGGGUGUUCGAAAGAUCCGAGUUCGAGCCAUUGAAGUUCAACUCCUACCCUGCACUGCACUCCCGGUUGUGGAUGAUAAGGUAACAAGGUACAGUUACCUGCCCUUCGUUACCCCAGCUAAAGGAGGUGUAUCCGAGAGAAAAGAGGUCCCUCAUUUCAUGAUGGAUUUGAUUAAUAAAUUUGCAGUAUAAAAUCCAUAGAAUGAAUUCAAUACAGUGUACACUCAAAGUGGACACCAUAUCAUGUGUUGGUAUGAAACCUGGCGUGGAAUUACAACAAAAAUUACUCUCACUCAACACUCGAAUUUGGUUUAAACAUAUUUUAUUUUGCAAUAUUUUUUACAACAUGAUUACAAAUAUACAAUAAAGGAUUGGACAGGAAGCUUUAUAAGCUUAAGGUUGUCCUCUCCCUUUUACAACAAUGUGCAUAUAUAGGUCAUGGCAAUAGAAACCUUCAAAUGCAUGGAAAAAAAUACAAAAGUUUACUAAUGAAUAUUACACAGGUGUAAAGUAACUAUUUAUAAAGUUAUACGUAGUAAGAGAUACUGGUUUAAAAAAAGAAAGAAAAAGGAACAGAAAUAGUAAGAAAUUGACAACAAAACCAGGGGCAAUUACAUGAUGGAGUUACUAUCACUUAACACAGUUAAAAGGGUUUGAUAUGCUAUUUUUCGUGUAAGCUAUUUCUGACAUGUUUACUUCUUGUAGAUCAAAAUCGUUUGGAUUUAACAAUGUAACACUGAACAGCAGUAAAUAUUUCUACGUUGGAAUCAUCUGAUAGGGCAGGAUUACCUUGUAAGAUAACAUUUAAUGUUGGAGUACAAAACUGGGAUAUGAUAUUGAACAAUUGUAUUCUUAAGUGAGAAUACCUCGGGCAUAUGAAAAAAUAGUGAUAAGGCGUUUCUACAUCCCCGCAGUCACACUUUGGAGACUCAAUAAUGUUUUUAGCAAAGAGCUCAGAAGAUAGAGAGCUGCAUUGCGUACGUAGCCUUGUAUGAAGUAUUCGAGAUUUUCUUACUCCUGUCAGAAAGUACUUUGGAACAGUAGGAAUGUCAUUAUUUAAUAUACGCUUAAAGGACGCUAGAGAACAAGCAUUACGUAUUUCGUCUGGAAGAGCGUUGAAAUCCCGUAUGACUGAUGGAAGGAAGGAAUUGUAAUAAAAUGCAGUAUGUGUGAAUAUAGUCUGAAUAUUUUCAGCAUUUCUAAGAGGGAAUCUGUGGUCUCUUCCUACAUUAGAUGGAACAAGGUCGGAAAGAUAGGACGGUGUGAGGUUAUUUUUCAUUUUAUAAAACAGCACUAACUUAUGUUUUUUCCUUCUGUUUGCAAGGGUUUCCCAGCCAACUUCAGAUAAAAGUUUGUCAAUAGAAACGAGUUUCGUUGUUCCAGUUACUAUUCUUGCUGCUUCAUGCUGAAUUUUUUCAAGUUCCUGUUUUUCAUUUUGAGUGCAAUUGUCAAAAAGUACGUCACCAUAUUCAAGAAUAGGUCUAAUGAAUGAUUUGUAGAUUACCUCAAGAGAAUUUCUGUCUAGCUGAAAUUUUAACUUUUUCAUGACAUUUAUUCGCAGCCAGGCUUUCUUUGUUAUGUACUCAAUUUGUGUAGUCCACCUAAGAUCAUUUGAUAGAAAAAUACCUAAAUGUUUAUGAUUAUGGACUUCGUUUAUUUGCUGACCCUGCAUUAAUAGUGGAGGAUGAUAGACUCUAU